AAUUUAUUUUCAUUGGAUGGAUAUCCAACCCCAUGGAAAAAAAUUGAAAGAUAGGAAAGAAGUCAAAAUCUUCACUGUCCCGCAACUGUAAGGCGAAAGCCAAGUCAGAUAGCUAUCCACAGUGUAUACUCCACC
rfam:Clostridiales bacterium S5-A11 contig012, whole genome shotgun sequence.